GAAAGAUUUGAUUAAAUUGUUCUCAAUUUAACGAAAUGCUGAACCAGCUAGACGCGACUUAAGUGUUUACUUCCUGGAGUCACGUGAUAGGCCGAUUAGAAUCAUGCGUCUUAAAGUGAACACGUCCUGAAUAGAAACUCAUAGGAAAUGCAUAUUCCUGGAACACAUUAUAUUUCUGCAAUGCUGACUAAAUGCAAAGCAUGCAUUCCCCACCUGCAACAUUAAACUUAAGGCUCUUGAGACAUUCUCUUGCUCAUAACAAAACAAUUAUAUAUAAAUUUUUUAUUCGUAUUGUAUUGUCUAUUUAAUGUUUGUAUUUGAGGAUGUGCUCUGGUUCUCUCUCAGCUAAGCCAGAUGCUCGAUGGCGAACUCCCCUCUGUGGUCCGUGUUGAGGUCGAGGCUCAGAGAGAGGCCCUCCAGGGCAUACUGGAUGUCCUGUCUGACACUGGACUGGAGACCGAGGACCCCAACAGUCCUCUCUGUGCUUUUCACCUCGUUACCAGUGCCCUGGCUGAAAUGGCGGAUGAAGGCCUUGCUGUCCUGGUGUCGAGAUGCACUCCCCCAGAUCCCCAGAUGCUGAGCUCCCUGGAGCUGCUGAUGCAGUGUGUGAUCGAGAAUGGGGAGAUGUCUCUGAGCAGUGAUGACCUCGCUCCCCUCACCGGGGAGACCUUCCAGUUGACAGAGGAGCUCUUCGACUCCUGUGGAGUGGGUCUGCAGAGAGACGGAGACGUGCUGAGGACGGAGCUCAGCGAUUGCUACGAGCCGCAGCCUCUCGUCCUUUGCAUUGCCAUCAAAGGCCUUGCUUCCCUAGCCCGGUGUUAAUUAGGGACAGGAAUCACCAGGAUGCUCACAAUACGAUAUCACAGGGGCUUUCGUAGACCAUUAUUAUAUGGAUUGCGAUUCGUUGUAUUUUUCGAUACAAUGGUGCGAUACACUUUUGGUGAAAUGUUAUCUUUUGUUUCUGGCUUUCUAUUAUUUCUUUAAAAAAAGUUAUUUUAUGUCACCCUGACAAUUAUGGAAGCAAAGAAUUUAGAUUCUCACAUGAAUUUGAUGUUUAUAUACAAUUUGUUUUCACAAUGUAGUAUUCAACUUUCUAUGCCAAAAAAAAGAGUACUGUGUUGUUAUGUUCUUAUCAAUCUCAUUGCGUUUAAAUCAUUGAACAACCUUAACAA
ensembl:lncRNA